UACGUAGGGUGCAAGCGUUGUCCGGAAUUAUUGGGCGUAAAGAGCUCGUAGGCGGUUUGUCGCGUCUGCUGUGAAAACUCGGGGCUUAACUCCGGGCCUGCAGUGGGUACGGGCAGACUAGAGUGCGGUAGGGGAGACUGGAAUUCCUGGUGUAGCGGUGAAAUGCGCAGAUAUCAGGAGGAACACCGGUGGCGAAGGCGGGUCUCUGGACCACAACUGACGCUGAGGCACGAAAGCUAGGGGAGCAAACAGG
rnacentral:rRNA from 1 species